rnacentral:rRNA from 1 species
UCCCGUCUGGAGUCCGCGACACGACCUAUGUGAAACUCCUUCGACGAGUCGAGUUGUUUGGGAAUGCAGCUCUAAAUGGGUGGUAAAUUUCAUCUAAAGCUAAAUAUUGGCCAGAGACCGAUAGCGCACAAGUAGAGUGAUCGAAAGAUGAAAAGCACUUUGAAAAGAGAGUUAAACAGUACGUGAAAUUGUUGAAAGGGAAGCGCAGGCAACCAGACUUGCGCGUCGGGGUUCCCCCUUGCUUCUGCCUGGGUUACUCCCCGGCGUUCAGGCCAACAUCGGUUUCGGGGGUUGGUUAAAGACCCUGGGAAUGUAUCUACCCGGCGGGGUAGACUUAUAGCCCAGGGUGUCAUGCGACCUCCCGGGACCGAGGAACGCGCUUCGGCUCGGAUGUUGGCGUAAUGGUUGUCUGCGGCCCGUCUUGAAACACGGACCA